GAAAAUGGCUUCAAGACAAAUAUGAAGCCAAAAGUAGAAAAAGAAUAGUAAAGUUAAAGAGACUUACUUUUACUCCUCAAAUAAAAAAGAAAACCGCAAAUACUCGUAUAAAUGCUGAUAAAAAAAAUGUUGCUGCACAAAGAAAAUUAACCAACAUCCAAAAGAAAAACGUUGAACAAAAGGGUGAUGAACAUUACAAGAAUUUCUUGCAGCCACCAAACGAUAAUGAUGACGGGUCAUUUGUCAUAAAUGAUGGAGC